rnacentral:rRNA from 2 species
GGUAAUACAGAGGGUGCAAGCGUUAAUCGGAAUUACUGGGCGUAAAGCGCGCGUAGGUGGUUCGUUAAGUUGGAUGUGAAAUCCCCGGGCUCAACCUGGGAACUGCAUUCAAAACUGUCGAGCUAGAGUAUGGUAGAGGGUGGUGGAAUUUCCUGUGUAGCGGUGAAAUGCGUAGAUAUAGGAAGGAACACCAGUGGCGAAGGCGACCACCUGGACUGAUACUGACACUGAGGUGCGAAAGCGUGGGGAGCAAACAGGAUUA